rnacentral:rRNA from 1 species
GCCUGGGGAGUACGGCCGCAAGGCUGGAAACUCAAAAGGAAUUGACGGGGGCCCGCACAAAGCGGUGGAGCAUGUGGUUUUAAUUCGAAGCUACGCGAAGAACCUUACCAGGUCUUGACAUACUAUGCAAAUCUAAGAGAUUAGACGUUCCCUUCGGGGACAUGGAUACAGGUGGUGCAUGGUUGUCGUCAGCUCGUGUCGUGAGAUGUUGGGUUAAGUCCCGCAACGAGCGCAACCCUUAUUAUCAGUUGCCAGCAUUAAGUUGGGCACUCUGGUGAGACUGCCGGUGACAAACCGGAGGAAGGUGGGGAUGACGUCAAAUCAUCAUGCCCCUUAUGACCUGGGCUACACACGUGCUACAAUGGAUGGUACAACGAGUUGCGAACUCGCGAGAGUAAGCUAAUCUCUUAAAGCCAUUCUCAGUUCGGAUUGUAGGCUGCAACUCGCCUACAUGAAGUCGGAAUCGCUAGUAAUCGCGGAUCAGCAUGCCGCGGUGAAAUAACG